rnacentral:RNase_P_RNA from 1 species
ACUACAAACCGGGCUAUCGCCUUCCCGAUUCAGGGGUGGAGGAAAGUCCGGACAGCAUAGGGCAAUGUACCGGUGAAUAGCCGGGUCUUCCCGACUUGUCGGGAGGAACAGACAGUGCCACAGAAAAUUACUGCCUUCGUCCCGACCUAUGGUCGGGAUUCGUCCGAGUAUGGCAAGGCCUCCUUCGCCAGGGCUUCGGAGGGUAAAGAUGAAAACGUGGGGUAAGAGCCCACGGCUUUGCCGGGCGACCGGUAAGGCGGGUAAACCUUGCAUGCUGAAAUGCCAUGUAUACCAGCGUUGAAGGGCGGCUCGUCCGAUUCUUCCCGCAGUAUUGCGGGGAGGAACGUUGGGUGGGUAGGCAGAACGAUCCAGUCAGCAAUGGCUGGACCAGAUAAAUGAUAGCCUCCCGAUCGUAGAUCGGGAUACAGAAUCCGGCUUACAGGUUUGUAGUUAUU